UACGGAGGGUGCAAGCGUUAUCCGGAUUCACUGGGUUUAAAGGGUGCGUAGGUGGGUUGGUAAGUCAGUGGUGAAAUCUCCGAGCUUAACUUGGAAACUGCCAUUGAUACUAUCAGUCUUGAAUACCGUGGAGGUCAGCGGAAUAUGUCAUGUAGCGGUGAAAUGCUUAGAUAUGACAUAGAACACCAAUUGCGAAGGCAGCUAACUACGCGAAUAUUGACGCUGAGGCACGAAAGCGUGGGGAUCAAACAGG
rnacentral:rRNA from 1 species